CGAGCGAGCGGAACUAACAGAUUUACUUCGGUAAUGACGUUAGGAAAGCGAGCGGCGGAUGGGUGAGUAACACGUGGGGAACCUGCCCCAUAGUCUGGGAUACCACUUGGAAACAGGUGCUAAUACCGGAUAAGAAAGCAGAUCGCAUGAUCAGCUUUUAAAAGGCGGCGUAAGCUGUCGCUAUGGGAUGGCCCCGCGGUGCAUUAGCUAGUUGGUAAGGUAAAGGCUUACCAAGGCGAUGAUGCAUAGCCGAGUUGAGAGACUGAUCGGCCACAUUGGGACUGAGACACGGCCCAAACUCCUACGGGAGGCAGCAGUAGGGAAUCUUCCACAAUGGACGCAAGUCUGAUGGAGCAACGCCGCGUGAGUGAAGAAGGUUUUCGGAUCGUAAAGCUCUGUUGUUGGUGAAGAAGGAUAGAGGUAGUAACUGGCCUUUAUUUGACGGUAAUCAACCAGAAAGUCACGGCUAACUACGUGCCAGCAGCCGCGGUAAUACGUAGGUGGCAAGCGUUGUCCGAAUUUAUUGGGCGUAAAGCGAGCGCAGGCGGAAGAAUAAGUCUGAUGUGAAAGCCCUCGGCUUAACCGAGGAACUGCAUCGGAAACUGUUUUUCUUGAGUGCAGAAGAGGAGAGUGGAACUCCAUGUGUAGCGGUGGAAUGCGUAGAUAUAUGGAAGAACACCAGUGGCGAAGGCGGCUCUCUGGUCUGCAACUGACGCUGAGGCUCGAAAGCAUGGGUAGCGA
rnacentral:rRNA from 1 species